AUAAGCAAGCUGUCGGUGCACAAUUAUGCUUCAGCCAAAUCAGAAUCUCCUUGCUCCUGACGAGGGUUAAUUUUGUUAUGCGUCAAGUGUUCGUCCACUACGACCGUUGUUAACGGGGUGAACGCCGUCACCAGCCAACGAGGCGUUUAAGAAUACAACGUCUAUCUGCUUUUCUUUGGAUGGAUAUAAUUAAAUGUGAAAGAAAAAGUCUUUUCCAGAGCUUCUGCUACUCUCAAGAGGAACGGGCGAACUUCUACGCGGAUAAACUUGUUUAACGAACGAACAAGGAGUGUCUGUCCAUGGUCUGGCAAAUCGUCGGCCAGCCUCGUUCGUUAGACUAUGUAGUAUCGGGGUUGGAGGUCACGCAAAAGAGGAAACGGUUAUCUCGUCGUUUUCGGCUUGUUGGACAUAUAUAGGGGAUGCAAUGAUGACGGAUAUUCUAAGAGGUGGAUAGCAUGUAUUAUCCUUUUAUGGUUUAAUGUAUUUUUUAUACUAUCUUCGUUUGAUCACAGUAAUUUUUCCUAUAUUCUUCUUUUCAUUUCCAACGAUCUAAUAAGAUGUUAAAGUUGGUUAGAUUUCAUUAUUGAUUGGUCUUCAUCAGCAGGUCCUUUUGAUUGAUCAUUAGUAGAAAAAUGCAACGAGAUUAGUAUGGUUUUGUAUGGAAACCGCAGGAAAUUGGAAGACAAAAUUUUAGUAAAAUUAUCGAAAACCUCUCAAGUUAACUUGAAAUCUAA
rnacentral:misc_RNA from 1 species